rnacentral:rRNA from 1 species
GGUCAAGUUAGAAAGGGCUUAUGGUGGAUGCCAUGGCAUCAGAGGGCGAAGAAGGACGCGGCAGGCUGCGAAAAGCCACGGGGAGCUGCGAGCGAGCAUAGAUCCGUGGGAAUCCGAAUGGGGCAACCCAUGCCGAUUAAAAUCGGCAUAUCGUAUGCUGAAUAAAUAGGCAUAUGAAGGUAACCUGGGGAAGUGAAACAUCUCAGUACCUGGAGGAAGAGAAAUCAAGCGAGAUUCCCUCAGUAGCGGCGAGCGAAGGGGGAAGAGCCCAAACCAACCCUACAACAGACUGUUCAAAGUUCUGAGUUCUAAGUUCAAAGUUAAAGGAGAGAAGCGAGUAAAGAUUGGACAUUGAACGUAGAACCUUGAACGUUGAACGAUGUGUUGUAGGGUUGGGGUUGUAGGACCGCAUAACUAGGAACACUGUAUUAUAGCUGAAUGUUCUGGAAAGGACAUCCAAAGGGGGUGACAGGCCCGUAGGCGUAAUGAUACAGAAACCGAAGCGGUAUCCUGAGUACCACGGGACACGUGGAAUCCUGUGGGAAUCUGGGGGGACCACCCUCCAAGGCUAAAUACCAACUGAUGACCGAUAGUGGACAAGUACCGUGAGGGAAAGGUGAAAAGAACCCCGGUGAGGGGAGUGAAAUAGAACCUGAAACCGUAAGCCUACAAGCAAUCGGAGCUUCGAGCAAUCGGAGUGACGGUGUGCCUUUUGAUUAAUGAGCCGGCGAGUUACUGGCUGUAGCGAGGUUAAGGUCUUAAGGACUGGAGCCGUAGGGAAACCGAGUCUUAACAGGGCGAGUGAGUUACAGUCAGUAGACCCGAAGCCAGGUGAUCUACCCAUGGUCAGGGUGAAGCGGAGGUAAGACUUCGUGGAGGCCCGAACCGGUGUUUGUUGCAAAAAGCUCGGAUGAACUGUGGGUAGGAGCGAAAGACUAAUCAAACCUGGUGAUAGCUGGUUCUCCCCGAAAUGUAUUUAGGUACAGCCUCUAAGCAAUCUUAGGGGGGUAGGGCACUGGAUGGGCUAGGGCCUCAGAUGGGGUACCAAACCCAACCAAACCACGAAUACCCUAUAGAUGAUCUUAGGGAGUGAGACUGCGGGUGCUAAGAUUCGUAGUCGAGAGGGAAACAGCCCAGACCGUCAGCUAAGGUCCCUAAGGCAGUGGUAAGUGGGAAAGGAUGUGGUGUUACUGAGACAGCCAGGAUGUUGGCUUAGAAGCAGCCAUCAUUAAAAGAAAGCGUAACAGCUCACUGGUCAAGUGACACUGCGCCGAAAAUUCAACGGGGCUAAGCACUGCACCGAAGCUACGGAUCCCGAGGCAAGUCGGGAUGGUAGGGGAGCAUUCUGCGGACCUGUGAAGGCCUCGAGUGAUCGGGACUGGAGGGGGCAGAAGAGAUUAUGCCGGCAUAAGUAGCGUAAAUUCUGAUGAAAAGUCAGGACGCCGUAAACCUAAGGUUUCCUGGGGAAGGGAAAUCCGCCCAGGGUUAGUCGGGCCUAAGGCAAGGCCGUGAGGCGUAGCCGAUGGGGGACUGGUUAAUAUUCCAGUACCGUCUUGUGUGCGUUUGACCGAAGGGGUGACGCAGGAGGAUAGUUUGAGCCUGGUGAUGGUUCAGGUCCAAGCACUUAGGCUGGUGUGCAGGGAAAUCCGCACACCAUUAAGGCUGAGGUGUAAUGGGGAAGGUCGUAAGACUGAACUCAGGCGAUUCCACACUGACGAGAAAAACCUCGCAGGGAGCACAUGGGAUGACCGUACCGCAAACCGACACAGGUAGGUGAGUAGAAGAUACUAAGGCGUACGAGUUAACCCUCGCUAAGGAACUAGGCAAAAUAACCCCGUAACUUUGGGAGAAGGGGUACCGCCGCAAGGCGGUCGCAGUAAAGAGGCCCAGGCGACUGUUUAGCAAAAACACAGGUGUCUGCAAACUCGCAAGAGGAGGUAUAGACACUGACGCCUGCCCGGUGCCGGAAGGUUAAUGGGAGAGGUCAUUUCCGCAAGGAGAGAAGCCUUGAACUGAAGCCCCGGUAAACGGCGGCCGUAACUAUAACGGUCCUAAGGUAGCGAAAUUCCUUGUCGGGUAAGUUCCGACCCGCAUGAAUGGCGUAACGAUCUGGGCGCUGUCUCGGCGAGGGGCUCGGCGAACUUGAGAUACCGGUGAAGACGCCGGUUACCUGCAACUAGACGGAAAGACCCCGUGCACCUUUACUAUAGCUUGGCAGUGAGCUUUGGUGAUGUAUGUGUAGGAUAGGUGGGAGGCGAUGAAGUGGAGACGUUAGUUUUCAUGGAGCCGACCUUGAAAUACCACCCUUACCUUACCGGGGCUCUAAUCCACGCCCAUUAUCUGGGCGGGAGACACUGUCUGGCGGGUAGUUUGACUGGGGCGGUCGCCUCCCAAAAAGUAACGGAGGCGUCCAAAGGUCUCCUCAGGCUGGACGGAAACCAGCUGUUGAGUGCAAAGGCAUAAGGAGGCUUAACUGUGAGGCUGACAGGCCGAGCAGGUGGGAAACCAGGGCUUAGUGAUCCGGUGGCACUGAGUGGAAGGGCCAUCGCUCAACGGAUAAAAGGUACGCCGGGGAUAACAGGCUUAUCGGGUCCAAGAGUUCACAUCGACGACCCGGUUUGGCACCUCGAUGUCGACUCAUCGCAUCCUGGAGCUGAAGCAGGUUCCAAGGGUUGGGCUGUUCGCCCAUUAAAGCGGUACGAGAGUUGGGUUCAGAACGUCGUGAGACAGUUCGGUCCCUAUCUGUUGCAGGCGGAGGAGACUUGAGGGGAGCUGUCCUUAGUACGAGAGGACCGGGAUGGACAGACCUCUGGUGUUCCGGUUGUCACGCCAGUGGCAAUGCCGGGUAGCUAUGUCUGGAAGGGAUAAACGCUGAAGGCAUCUAAGCAUGAAGCCCACCCCAAGAUUAGGUCUCNNNNNNNNNNNNNNNNGAUAGGCUGGAGGUGUAAGUGCAGUAAUGCAUUGAGCUGACCAGUACUAAUAGACCGUGUGACUUGACCCU